rnacentral:misc_RNA from 1 species
UCCAGUUUAUCACCGGCAGUCUCCCUAGAGUGCCCAACUUAAUGAUGGCAACUAAGGAUAAAGGUUGCGCUCGUUGCGGGACUUAACCCAACACUUCACAGCACGAGCUGACGACAGCCAUGCAGCACCUGUGUAAUCGCUCCUUGCGGAGACACCCACUUUCAUGGGCUGGCAACUACAUGUCAAGCCUGGGUAAGGUUCUUCGCGUAGCCUCGAAUUAAACCACAUGCUCCACCGCUUGUGCGGGUCCCCGUCAAUUUCUUUGAGUUUCAGUCUUGCGACCGUACUCCCCAGGUGGUGGAUUUAAUGUGUUAACUGCGGCGCCGGGGGGAUCAACACCCCCGAUACCUAAUCCACAUCGUUUACGGCAAGGACUAC